UACGUAGGGGGCUAGCGUUGUCCGGAUUUAUUGGGCGUAAAGAGCGCGUAGGCGGGUGCUCAAGUCCGUGGUGAAAUCCUCCGGCUCAACCGGAGAACUGCCUCGGAUACUGGGCGUCUCGAGUGUGGUAGGGGUAUGCGGAACUAUCGGUGGAGCGGUGAAAUGCGUUGAUAUCGAUAGGAACUCCGGUGGCGAAGGCGGCAUACUGGACCACCACUGACGCUGAUGCGCGAAAGCCAGGGGAGCAAACGGG
rnacentral:rRNA from 1 species